rnacentral:rRNA from 1 species
AGCUUUAUGAAUUUUUAUAUAAAGUGACUUCUGCCCAGUGAAUGUUAUUUUUUAACGGCCGCAGUACUUUGACUGUGCAAAGGUAGCAUAAUAAUUUGUCCUUUAAUUUAGGUCUAGUAUGAAUGAAUAUUUGAAGAAAUUCUGUCUUAAAUUAAAUUUUAUAGAAAUUACUUAAAGUGUGAAAAUUCACUUGAAUUUAAAAAGAAAGACGAGAAGACCCUUAGAGUUUUACAGAAAUUUAUAUAUCUUUUAUUUUUUUCUAGAAUUAUUUAUAAUUAAAAGUUUUGUUGGGGCGACAUAUAUUCAAUUUUAAUAAAACAAUAUCUUUUUAUAAUUUUUUAAAAAUAACAUGCCGAAUUAAUAUUAUGAAAGAUUAAACUACCUAAGGGAUAACAGCAUUAUCUUAUAAAUAGGAUUGUGACCUCGAUGUUGGACUAGGAAUUUACUGAUAAGCAAUCAAGUUAAUAUUGUUCUGUUCGAACAUAAUACUCCU